AUUACAAACCUAGAAAUCCAGCGACCCAUCCAUCUGAGAAGAGACACCAAGAAAACUAUUCCAUCAUAAUAACGACGUCCUAAAUCACAGUAUUCAGAUCUAUCUGACAAUUAGACUCGCAAAUCUCUUGGACAAGUUGCUGGACAGAUUACAUGUUUAUUAUCUUUGAGAGAUCGCUGGAGAGAUAUGCGAGUUAAAAAGGACCCUAAAAAUAAUUCAUCAUGGCCAUGAUUUUUCCAGCAGUUCAAAGAUGCAUUUUGUGAGAGGGACAAUAUGUGUGUUGUAUCAGAUAGGAACGAAAGCAUAAUGAAGAGUGUAAGUAUUGUGUUUCCCAAUGUCCCUCACUUUGCAUGCAUAUAUAAUAUAUGGAAAAAUGUAUGUACUAACUACAU